rnacentral:rRNA from 1 species
AGGACGAACGCUGGCGGCGUGCUUAACACAUGCAAGUCGAGCGGUAAGGCUCCUUCGGGAGUACACGAGCGGCGAACGGGUGAGUAACACGUGAGCAAUCUGCCCUUCUCAUCGGAAUAAGCGUUGGAAACGACGUCUAAUGCCGAAUACGACCUCCUUUCGCAUGAUCGGAGGUGGAAAGCUCCGGCGGAGAAGGAUGAGCUCGCGGCCUAUCAGCUAGUUGGUGUGGGUAAUGGCCCACCAAGGCGACGACGGGUAGCCGGCCUGAGAGGGUGACCGGCCACACUGGGACUGAGACACGGCCCAGACUCCUACGGGAGGCAGCAGUGGGGAAUAGUUGACAA